UACAGAGGGGGCAAGCGUUGUUCGGAAUUACUGGGCGUAAAGGGCGCGUAGGCGGCCUGCUAAGUCGAACGUGAAAUCCCUGGGCUCAACCCAGGAACUGCGUCCGAUACUGGUUGGCUUGAAUCCGGGAGAGGGAUGCGGAAUUCCAGGUGUAGCGGUGAAAUGCGUAGAUAUCCGGAGGAACACCAGUGGCGAAGGCGGCUUCCUGGACCGACACUGACGCUGAGGCGCGAAAGCUAGGGGAGCAAACGGG
rnacentral:rRNA from 1 species